CCUACGGGAGGCUGCAGUGAGGAAUAUUGGUCAAUGGGCGCAAGCCUGAACCAGCCAAGUCGCGUGAAGGAUGACUGCCCUACGGUUUGUAAACUUCUUUUAUAAAGGAAUAAAGUGAGGCACGUGUGCCUUUUUGUAUGUACUUUAUGAAUAAGGAUCGGCUAACUCCGUGCCAGCAGCCGCGGUAAUACGGAGGAUCCGAGCGUUAUCCGGAUUUAUUGGGUUUAAAGGGAGCGUAGACGGGUUGUUAAGUCAGUGGUGAAAGUUUGCGGCUCAACCGUAAAAUUGCAAUUGAUACUGGCAGUCUUGAGUACAGUUGAGGUAGGUGGAAUUCGUGGUGUAGCGGUGAAAUGCAUAGAUAUCACGAAGAACCCCGAUUGCGAAGGCAGCUUACUAAGCCGUGACUGACAUUGAUGCACGAAAGUGUGGGGAUCAAACAGGAUUAGAUACCCCAGUAGUC
rnacentral:rRNA from 1 species